GAAUUGUUCGCAAUGGGCGCAAGCCUGACGACGCAACGCCGCGUGGAGGAUGAAGAUCUUCGGGUCGUAAACUCCUUUCGAUCGAGACGAACGGCCCUUGGGUGAACAAUCCGAGGGAGUGACGGUACCGAGAGAAGAAGCCACGGCUAACCCCGGUCCAGCAGCCGCGGUAAUACGGGGGGGGCAAGCGUUGUUCGGAAUUACUGGGCGUAAAGGGCUCGUAGGCGGCCGACUAAGUCAGACGUGAAAUCCCUCGGCUCAACCGGGGAACUGCGUCUGAUACUGGCCGGCUUGAAUCCGGGAGAGGGAUGUGGAAUUCCAGGUGUAGCGGUGAAAUGCGUAGAUAUCUGGAGGAACACCGGUGGCGAAGGCGGCAUCCUGGACCGGCAUUGACGCUGAGGAGCGAAAGCCAGGGGAGCAAACGGG
rnacentral:rRNA from 1 species